UACGUAGGGGGCAAGCGUUGUCCGGAAUCAUUGGGCGUAAAGAGCGUGUAGGCGGCCAGAUAAGUCCGCUGUGAAAUCUCGAGGCUCAACUUCGAGCUGUCGGUGGAAACUGUCUGGCUAGAGUCCGGAAGAGGAGAAUGGAAUUCCUGGUGUAGCGGUGAAAUGCGCAGAUAUCAGGAAGAACACCCGUGGCGAAGGCGGUUCUCUGGGACGGUACUGACGCUGAGACGCGAAAAGCGUGGGGGAGCGAAACAGG
rnacentral:rRNA from 1 species